AUGGCGACCGGCGCACGGGUGAGUAACGCGUAUGCAACCUGCCUGAUACCGGGGUAUAGCCCAUGGAAACGUGGAUUAACACCCCAUAGUACUUUUAUCCUGCCUGGGAUGGGAGUUAAAUGUUCAAGGUAUCGGAUGGGCAUGCGUCCUGUUAGUUAGUUGGCGGGGUAACAGCCCACCAAGACGAUGAUAGGUAGGGGUUCUGAGAGGAAGGUCCCCCACAUUGGAACUGAGACACGGACCAA
rnacentral:rRNA from 1 species